rnacentral:rRNA from 1 species
AUUGAACGCUGGCGGCAUGCCUUACACAUGCAAGUCGAACGGUAACAGGUCUUCGGAUGCUGACGAGUGGCGAACGGGUGAGUAAUACAUCGGAAAGUGCCCGAUCGUGGGGGAUAACGAGGCGAAAGCUUUGCUAAUACCGCAAACGAUCUACGGAUGAAAGCGGGGGAUCUACGGACCUCGCGCGGACGGAGCGGCCGAUGGCAGAUUAGGUAGUUGGUGGGAUAAAAGCUUACCAAGCCGACGAUCUGUAGCUGGUCUGAGAGGAUGAUCAGCCACACUGGGACUGAGACACGGCCCAGACUCCUACGGGAGGCAGCAGUGGGGAAUUUUGGACAAUGGGCGAAAGCCUGAUCCAGCCAUGCCGCGUGCAGGAUGAAGGCCUUCGGGUUGUAAACUGCUUUUGUACGGAACGAAAAGCCUCUUUCUAAUAAAGAGGGGUCAUGACGGUACCGUAAGAAUAAGCACCGGCUAACUACGUG